rnacentral:tRNA from 1 species
GGAUUAUGGCUCAACAGUAGAGCGCUCGCCUUGCAUGUGCAAGGCCCUGGGUUCAAUUCUCAGUACCA